GGAAGAGGAAGAGUUGUCAUCUACAUGAAAGGCCACCCCGGAGAAUAGGACAAGUGGUAAUCUGCCUGCCUUGUGACAACUGCACUCCAAACAUUGCAAAGGACCAUUUGAUUACCAAUUGUGUGCACAUGGAAAGAAGAGUUCUUAUGUGACAGAUCUGAAUGAACUGCCUAUCCCUCCGCAGCUGCAUCUUUGAUGGGAGGUGGUAAGUGCAGUAGAGUGUGCCUUUGCUGGCCAACACAGGCACAAAUAACACAAGCAACCCCUUAGCCACCCACCCAGCCAACUUAAAUGUCCUUUGGUGGAAACCAUAUGAUGAAAGAAUUUCUGGAGGGGAAAGAAAAG
rnacentral:lncRNA from 1 species